rnacentral:rRNA from 1 species
UAUAGCGUAUAUUAAAGUUGUUGCAGUUAAAAAGCCUCGUAGUCGGAUGUCGGGCUCGGGCAGGCUGUCGGCUUCGGUCGGACGGCAGGCUCGGGUCUUUCUGCCUGAGGAACCCGUGGCACUUAACUGUGCGGCGUGGGGACGCAGGCCGUUUACUUUGAAAAAAUUAGAGUGUUCAAAGCAGGCCUACGCUUGAAUACAUUAGCAUGGAAUAAUGGAAUAGGACUUUGGUGCUAUUUUGUUGGUUUAUGGGACCGAAGUAAUGAUUAACAGGGACAGUUGGGGCCGUUUAUAUUUCGUUGUCAGAGGUGAAAUUCUUGGAUUUACGAAAGAUAAACUUCUGCGAAAGCAUUCGGCAAGGAUGUUUUCAUUGAUCAAGAACGAAAGUUAGGGGAUCGAAGACGAUCAGAUACCGUCGUAGUCUUAACCAUAAACUAUGCCGACUAGGGAUCAGUGGAUGUCAAUUUGCGACUCCAUUGGCACCUUGUGAGAAAUCAAAG